CGCUCUCUCUGUUACGAAGUUUUAUAGAAAUGAUAGAGGAAAAAAUCUCAAUGGGCGUUUACCAUUUUGAGUCACCAAGCAAUCACAAA